GCCCCGCCUCCUCGUUGCCCCCGCCGCGGGCGCGCGAUGGAUUCCGGGUGCUGGUUGUUCGGCGGCGAGUUCGAGGACUCGGUGUUCGAGGAGAGGCCGGAGCGGCGGUCAGGACCGCCCGCGUCCUACUGCGCCAAGCUCUGCGAGCCGCAGUGGUUUUAUGAAGAAACAGAAAGCAGUGAUGAUGUUGAAGUGCUGACUCUCAAGAAAUUCAAAGGAGACCUGGCCUACAGACGACAAGAGUAUCAGAAAGCACUGCAGGAGUAUUCCAGUAUCUCUGAAAAAUUGUCAUCAACCAAUUUUGCCAUGAAAAGGGAUGUCCAGGAAGGUCAGGCUCGGUGUCUGGCUCACCUGGGUAGGCAUAUAGAGGCGCUGGAGAUUGCUGCAAACUUGGAAAAUAAAGCAACCAACACAGACCAUUUAACCACGGUACUCUACCUCCAGCUUGCUAUUUGUUCAAGUUUGCAGAACUUGGAGAAAACAAUUUUCUGCCUGCAGAAACUGAUUUCUUUGCAUCCUUUUAAUCCUUGGAACUGGGGCAAAUUGGCAGAGGCUUACCUGAAUCUGGGGCCAGCUCUUUCAGCAGCACUUGCGUCAUCUCAGAAACAGCACAGUUUCACCUCAAGUGACAAAACUCUCAAAUCCUUCUUUCCACACUCAGGAAAAGACUGUCUUUUGUGUUUUCCUGAAACCUUGCCUGAGAGCUCUUUAUUUUCUGUGGAAGCGAGUAGCAGUAAUAGCCAGAAAAAUGAGAAAGCUCUGACAAAUAUCCAAAACUGUAUGGCAGAAAAGAGAGAAACAGUGUUGAUAGAGACUCAGCUGAAAGCAUGUGCCUCUUUUAUGCGAACCAGCUUUCCUUUAUCUGGAAGCGUUGGGACUUUUCGCCACGCAUUGAGACUUUUCGGUUUUUCAGGCUUCUGCUUCAGUUUACCCAACCUCAGCAAACAUCGUUUGCUUUGGAGAGGAACUUAAGGACUCAGCAGGAAAUUGAAGAUAAAAUGAAAGGGUUCAGCUUCAAAGAAGACACUUUGCUGUUGAUAGCUGAGGUUAUGGGAGAAGAUAUCCCAGAAAAAAUAAAAGAUGAAGUUCACCCAGAGGUGAAGUGUGUUGGCUCCGUAGCCCUGACUGCCUUGGUGACUGCAUCCUCAGAAGAAUUUGAAGACAAGUGGUUCAGAAAGAUCAAAGACCAUUUCUGUCCAUUUGAAAAUCAGUUCCAUACAGAGAUACAGAUCUUGGCUUAGUGGGUUAUAAAAAACAAAACCACAAAUAUCUUGUACUGUAUUAAUUGUCCUUGUUUACUUUAGACAGUAUCCAUUGCUAAUCAUGGAGUAUAAAUGAUUAUUUAUGUUUUAUAAAA